rnacentral:rRNA from 1 species
GACGAACGCUGGCGGCGUGCUUAACACAUGCAAGUCGAACGGAAAGGCCCUGCUUUUGUGGGGUGCUCGAGUGGCGAACGGGUGAGUAACACGUGAGUAACCUGCCCUUGACUUUGGGAUAACUUCAGGAAACUGGGGCUAAUACCGGAUAGGAGCUCCUGCUGCAUGGUGGGGGUUGGAAAGUUUCGGCGGUUGGGGAUGGACUCGCGGCUUAUCAGCUUGUUGGUGGGGUAGUGGUUUACCAAGGCUUUGACAGGUAGCCGGCCUGAGAGGGUGACCGGCCACAUUGGGACUGAGAUACGGCCCAGACUCCUACGGGAGGCAGCAGUGGGGAAUAUUGCACAAUGGGCGGAAGCCUGAUGCAGCAACGCCGCGUGCGGGAUGACGGCCUUCGGGUUGUAAACCGCUUUUGCCUGUGACGAAGCGUGAGUGACGGUAAUGGGUAAAGAAGCACCGGCUAACUACGUGCCAGCCGCCGCCGUAA